rnacentral:rRNA from 1 species
CAAGUCGAGCGGUAGCACAGAGAGCUUGCUCUCGGGUGACGAGCGGCGGACGGGUGAGUAAUGUCUGGGAAACUGCCUGAUGGAGGGGGAUAACUACUGGAAACGGUAGCUAAUACCGCAUAACGUCGCAAGACCAAAGUGGGGGACCUUCGGGCCUCAUGCCAUCAGAUGUGCCCAGAUGGGAUUAGCUAGUAGGUGGGGUAAUGGCUCACCUAGGCGACGAUCCCUAGCUGGUCUGAGAGGUUGACCAGCCACACUGGAACUGAGACACGGUCCAGACUCCUACGGGAGGCAGCAGUGGGGAAUAUUGCACAAUGGGCGCAAGCCUGAUGCAGCCAUCCCGCGUGUAUGAAGAAGGCCUUCGGGUUGUAAAGUACUUUCAGCGAGGAGGAAGGCGUUAAGGUUAAUAACCUUAGCGAUUGACGUUACUCGCAGAAGAAGCACCGGCUAACUCCGUGCCAGCAGCCGCGGUAAUACGGAGGGCGCAAGCGUUAAUCGGAAUUACUGGGCGUAAAGCGCACGCAGGCGGUUUGUUAAGUCAGAUGUGAAAUCCCCGGGCUCAACCUGGGAACUGCAUUUGAAACUGGCAAGCUUGAGUCUUGUAGAGGGGGGUAGAAUUCCAGGUGUAGCGGUGAAAUGCGUAGAGAUCUGGAGGAAUACCGGUGGCGAAGGCGGCCCCCUGGACAAAGACUGACGCUCAGGUGCGAAAGCGUGGGGAGCAAACAGGAUUAGAUACCCUGGUAGUCCACGCUGUAAACGAUGUCGACUUGGAGGUUGUUCCCUUGAGGAGUGGCUUCCGGAGCUAACGCGUUAAGUCGACCGCCUGGGGAGUACGGCCGCAAGGUUAAAACUCAAAUGAAUUGACGGGGGCCCGCACAAGCGGUGGAGCAUGUGGUUUAAUUCGAUGCAACGCGAAGAACCUUACCUACUCUUGACAUCCAGAGAACUUAGCAGAGAUGCUUUGGUGCCUUCGGGAACUCUGAGACAGGUGCUGCAUGGCUGUCGUCAGCUCGUGUUGUGAAAUGUUGGGUUAAGUCCCGCAACGAGCGCAACCCUYAUCCUUUGUUGCCAGCGRUUCGGCCGGGAACUCAAAGGAGACUGCCAGUGAUAAACUGGAGGAAGGUGGGGAUGACGUCAAGUCAUCAUGGCCCUUACGAGUAGGGCUACACACGUGCUACAAUGGCAUAUACAAAGAGAAGCGACCUCGCGAGAGCAAGCGGACCUCAUAAAGUAUGUCGUAGUCCGGAUUGGAGUCUGCAACUCGACUCCAUGAAGUCGGAAUCGCUAGUAAUCGUAGAUCAGAAUGCUACGGUGAAUACGUUCCCGGGCCUUGUACACACCGCCCGUCACACCAUGGGAG